UCAUGGAUCAGAAUUCUCUCGAACUAAUCAUCAAUCAUCGAGAUCAACUGAUCCACCACCAUCUACAUCAACUGAUCCACAACCAACUAAACCAUAUACAUUAACAAGUUCAUCAACAAACAUCAUUGAAGCUGAAGUGAUAAUUCCAAUGAAUGAUAAGACAUCUCCAGAUGAUCACCUACACCUGUUUUCACAACAGCUAACAACAAAAAAAUACUUGUAAUGCACAAUAACCGAUCAACAAAACCUACGCACUUUUUGAAAAAACCACCAGUUACAGUUUUCUCAGAAAAAUCAGAGAAUACGCCACCA